rnacentral:tRNA from 1 species
GCGAGUGUAGCUCAGCUGGUCUAGAGCACCGGAUUGUGGUUCCGGGUGUCGUGGGUUCGAAUCCCAUCACUCGCCCCA